CGGAGCCAGGAGCAUCAGUGGGGUCACCCCCUGUGUGUAUAAAUCCUGCUACCAGGGAGUGCAGCGACACAGAAGUAGCAUCAGCAGGAUAGGCAACCAGAACUACUUCCUUUCCAAACUUUGAAAAGCUGUGGAAAAGCCUAUGGAAGCAAUGUUGGAGCCCAGGAUAGCCAGCAACUAAGCAAUGCUCAGGAACACUGGCUCUCCUGUGUUCCUAUUCGUCAUCUAUGUAGUGAUUAAAACAGUACUUUUAGUGGCCAGGUAGGCCAGCACAUCAGUAUCUGAAAUUGCCUUUCUAGUGUAGGAAAAUUGAAUAAAUACAAGUCAGAUCAAGAUUUCUAAUUUUCC
rnacentral:lncRNA from 1 species